ACGGGGGGAGCAAGCGUUGUUCGGAUUUACUGGGCGUAAAGGGCGCGUAGGCGGCGCAACAAGUCACUUGUGAAAUCUCCGGGCUUAACUCGGAGCGGCCAAGUGAUACUGUCGUGCUAGAGUGCGGAAGGGGCAACUGGAAUUCUCGGUGUAGCGGUGAAAUGCGUAGAUAUCGAGAGGAACACCUGCGGCGAAGGCGGGUUGCUGGGCCGACACUGACGCUGAGGCGCGAAAGCCAGGGGAGCGAACGGGA
rnacentral:rRNA from 1 species